UGAACUUCUGUUUACCUCAGACAUUCCAGGGGCCUCAUUUAUAAAACCUGUUACGCAAGAAAAAGUUGCAUGAAGCAG